rnacentral:rRNA from 1 species
GAUGAACGCUGGCGGCGUGCCUAAUACAUGCAAGUCGAGCGAACAGACGAGGAGCUUGCUCCUCUGACGUUAGCGGCGGACGGGUGAGUAACACGUGGAUAACCUACCUAUAAGACUGGGAUAACUUCGGGAAACCGGAGCUAAUACCGGAUAAUAUAUUGAACCGCAUGGUUCAAUAGUGAAAGACGGUUUUGCUGUCACUUAUAGAUGGAUCUGCGCCGCAUUAGCUAGUUGGUAAGGUAACGGCUUACCAAGGCAACGAUGCGUAGCCGACCUGAGAGGGUGAUAGGCCACACUGGAACUGAGACACGGUCCAGACUCCUACGGGAGGCAGCAGUAGGGAAUCUUCCGCAAUGGGCGAAAGCCUGACGGAGCAACGCCGCGUGAGUGAUGAAGGUCUUCGGAUCGUAAAACUCUGUUAUUAGGGAAGAACAAAUGUGUAAGUAACUAUGCACGUCUUGACGGUACCUAAUCAGAAAGCCACGGCUAACUACGUG